GAGCCUUCCUCUGCGGAUGGAGAGGAGUGAUAAGUGGAGGGCUGCUGCAAGCAUCGCCUCACAGAGGCUUCUCUACUUUAGAUAUUGAUGGCCAAGUUGAAAGAAUGUGCAGUAAGGACUAUUUAGAGAACUGCUUGAACUCUGGAGCAAAUGAAGGAUGAAUGAGGGUGACUUCUUUAAGACACACAUAUUAUUUUGAUGGCUUAAUGUUCACAGCCCACCUGCCUAUUGAUGACACCUCCCACAGUGAUCACAACUCUACUACAUUGAUUGGAAAUGAAGAAAAACGCCCCAGGGACGCUCUGUGUGCCAAUCUGACAUGGACAAUUCCUCAACUGUGACUGCUGGAACAGUCCCAGGAGUGACCAGCUUGAGUUUCCUUAAGAAUCUCUGAGAGUGGCCAUUGUCACAGUACAUUCUACCAGAGUGGACACAGGACUAGCCACAGGAUUAUCAUCAUGGAUUGCUGCAGCCAUGAAUCAUCUGAAGGAAUGGGCGGG